rnacentral:rRNA from 1 species
GACGAACGCUGGCGGCGUGCCUACUACAUGCAAGUCGAACGCAGUGGGGCCGGGUGAGUAACACGUGGGUAACCUCCCAUCAGAGGGGAUAACACUUGGACACAGGUGCUAAACCGAUAUUGCUGGUUGGACCCGCGGUGCAUUAGCUAGUUGGUGAGGUAACGGCUAACCAAGGCCACGAUGCAUAGCCGACCUGAGGUGAUGAGCGGCCACAAUGGGACUGAGACACGGCCCAGACUCCUACGGGAGGCAGCAGUAGGGAAGCUUCGGCAAUGGACGAAAGUCUGACCGAGCAACGCCGCGUGAGUGAAGAAGGUUUUCGGAUCGUAAAGCUCUGUUGUUAGAGAAGCGGUAUCUAACCAGAAAGCCACGGCUAACUACGUGCCAGCAGCCGCGGUAAUUC